GUGCCAGUGGUGAAGUGGCAUCAUGCAAGACUUCCAAUCUUGUGUCCUGGGUUCAAAUCCCAGCUGGCACA